GACGAACGCUGGCGGCGUGCCUAAUACAUGCAAGUCGAACGCUGAGGGAGGAGCUUUCUUCCCCGGAUGAUUUGCGCACGGGUGAGUAACACGUAGGGAACAUGUCUGUUAGAGGCGGAGAUCACUUGGAAAAGAUAGCUAAUAUCGCGUAAUAUUAGAUGUUGCAUGACAUUCGCUAAUAAGAUGCAAUUGUAUUGUUACCAGUAGGUCGUGCGUUGUAAUAACUAGUUGGUGGGGUUACGGCUCACCAAAGCGACGAUUCUGAGUCGACCUGAGAGGGUGGUCCGCCAACCUGGGACUGGAGCCCGGCCCAGGAUUCUACGGGGAGCAGCAGUAGGGGAACCUCGGCAAUGGACGGAAGUCUGAACGGGCCACGCCGCGUGAGUGGAGAAGGUUUUCGGGUCGUAAAGCUCUGUUGUAAGAGAAGAACGAGUGUGAGAGUGGAAAGUUCACGCUGUGACGGUACCUUACCAGAAAGGGACGGCUAACUACGUG
rnacentral:rRNA from 1 species